GGUCGAUUAGCUCAGCUGGUUAGAGCGUGGUGCUAAUAGUUAUCACUUGUUAACGCCAAGGUCGUGGGUUCGAUCCCCACAUUGACCU
rnacentral:tRNA from 1 species